rnacentral:rRNA from 1 species
UGGGGAAUAUUGCACAAUGGGCGCAAGCCUGAUGCAGCCAUGCCGCGUGUGUGAAGAAGGCCUUCGGGUUGUAAAGCACUUUCAGCGAGGAGGAAGGUGGUGAACUUAAUACGUUCAUCAAUUGACGUUACUCGCAGAAGAAGCACCGGCUAACUCCGUGCCAGCAGCCGCGGUAAUACGGAGGGUGCAAGCGUUAAUCGGAAUUACUGGGCGUAAAGCGCACGCAGGCGGUUUGUUAAGUCAGAUGUGAAAUCCCCGGGCUCAACCUGGGAACUGCAUUUGAAACUGGCAGCUAGAGUCUCGUAGAGGGGGUAGAAUUCCAGGUGGUAGCGGUGAAAUGCGUAGAGAUCUGGAGGAAUACCGGUGGCGAAGGCGGCCCCCUGGACG